rnacentral:rRNA from 1 species
UACGUAGGGUGCGAGCGUUUGUCCGGAAUUAUUGGGCGUAAAGGGCUCAUAGGCGGUUUGUCACGUCGGGAGUGAAAACUCGGGGCUUAACCCCGAGCCUGCUUCCGAUACGGGCAGACUAGAGGUAUGCAGGGGAGAACGGAAUUCCUGGUGUAGCGGUGAAAUGCGCAGAUAUCAGGAGGAACACCGGUGGCGAAGGCGGUUCUCUGGGCAUGUCCUGACGCUGAGGAGCGAAAGUGUGGGGAGCGAACAGG